AUUGUAGGCUGAAACUCGCCUACAUGAAGCNGGAGUUGCUAGUAAUCGCGAAUCAGCAUGUCGCGGUGAAUACGUUCCCGGGUCUUGUACACACCGCCCGUCACACCAUGGGAGUCAGUAACGCCCGAAGUCAGUGACCGAACCGAGAGGACGGAGCUGCCGAAGGCGGGACGGAUAACUGGGGUGAAGUCGUAACAAGGUAAC
rnacentral:rRNA from 1 species